rnacentral:rRNA from 1 species
UACGAAGGGUGCAAGCGUUAAUCGGAAUUACUGGGCGUAAAGGGUGCGUAGGCGGUUCGUUAAGUCUGUCGUGAAAUCCCCGGGCUCAACCUGGGAAUGGCGAUGGAUACUGGACAGCUAGAGUGUGUCAGAGGAUGGUGGAAUUCCCGGUGUAGCGGUGAAAUGCGUAGAGAUCGGGAGGAACAUCAGUGGCGAAGGCGGCCAUCUGGGACAACACUGACGCUGAAGCACGAAAGCGUGGGGAGCAAACAGG